rnacentral:rRNA from 1 species
AUUGAACGCUGGCGGCAUGCCUUACACAUGCAAGUCGAACGGCAGCGGGGGAGCUUGCUCCUGCCGGCGAGUGGCGAACGGGUGAGUAAUGCAUCGGAACGUGUCCUGUUGUGGGGGAUAACUGAUCGAAAGAUCAGCUAAUACCGCAUGAGACCUGAGGGUGAAAGCGGGGGAUCGCAAGACCUCGCGCGACAGGAGCGGCCGAUGUCUGAUUAGCUAGUUGGUGAGAUAAAAGCUUACCAAGGCGACGAUCAGUAGCUGGUCUGAGAGGAUGAUCAGCCACAUUGGGACUGAGACACGGCCCAGACUCCUACGGGAGGCAGCAGUGGGGAAUUUUGGACAAUGGGGGAAACCCUGAUCCAGCCAUGCCGCGUGCGGGAUGAAGGCCUUCGGGUUGUAAACCGCUUUUGUCAGAGACGAAAAGGGACGUACGAAUAAUACGUUCCGCUGACGGUAUCCGAAGAAUAAGCACCGGCUAACUACGUG